GGGCCUAUAGCUCAGUUGGCUAGAGCUCCCGGCUCAUAACCGGGCGGUCGGAGGUUCGAGUCCUCCUGGGCCCA
rnacentral:tRNA from 2 species